GAAGAUCGUCCUUUACCUUCACGCCAAGUUCCAUUUCACAAAACGAUAUCACUCAACAAUGGCGGCAAUAGCCGAAUCAUCGGAAGCAAAUGUAAACUCACCGUCGCCGUCGUUACCACCAGAAAGAGUUAAUCACGAAGACAAGUCAAAUACCUGGGGAGAGGCUGUCCCAUGGAUCGACAAUGCACUGCAACAGGCGCAGCUUGCCCGGAAGACCGCAGAAGACACCUUCGAGAAUGCAAUUGUGGUGACCAAAUCUCGUCUCAAUCGGAUUUUAACUACUUCUUCUGCGCACUUCAAUCAAACACUUGAUACCUUGCAAGAUUUGAAGUCUGAAUAUAGUGUAUAUGAGGACUUGGCUUUUGGGAAGAUCAAAGAGGGUCUUCUUCUUGCUGCUUCACACCCCCUAGCAACUACUGGAGCUGUUCUUGGUGUUGGAGUCUUGGUUCUGAAACGGCCAAGGCGUUUUUUGUACUACAGUGCUAUGCGGCUUUUUGUGCGUGAAGAGGCCUUGC
rnacentral:misc_RNA from 1 species